rnacentral:rRNA from 1 species
GGGGAAUUUUGCGCAAUGGGGGAAACCCUGACGCAGCAACGCCGCGUGGAGGAUGAAGUCCCUUGGGACGUAAACUCCUUUCGAUCGGGAAGAACGCCUUCGGUGUGAACAACACCGAGGGGUGACGGUACCGAGAGAAGAAGCCCCGGCUAACUCUGUGCCAGCAGCCGCGGUAAUACAGGGGGGGCAAGCGUUGUUCGGAAUUACUGGGCGUAAAGGGCGCGUAGGCGGACGGCUUUGUCGGGCGUGAAAUUCCAGGGCUUAACCUUGGGGCUGCGUUCGAGACGGGUUGUCUAGAGUUUGGAAGAGGGUCGUGGAAUUCCCAGUGUAGAGGUGAAAUUCGUAGAUAUUGGGAAGAACACCGGUGGCGAAGGCGGCGACCUGGUCCUUGACUGACGCUGAGGCGCGAAAGCGUGGGGAGCAAAC